rnacentral:rRNA from 1 species
UACGGGGGGGGCAAGCGUUGUUCGGAAUUACUGGGCGUAAAGGGCGCGUAGGCGGCCUGCUAAGUCGGAUGUGAAAUCCCUCGGCUCAACCGAGGAACUGCAUCCGAUACUGGCGGGCUUGAAUCCGGGAGAGGGGUGUGGAAUUCCAGGUGUAGCGGUGAAAUGCGUAGAUAUCUGGAGGAACACCGGUGGCGAAGGCGGCAUCCUGGACCGGUAUUGACGCUGAGGCGCGAAAGCUAGGGGAGCAAACGGG